GACAGAGGCCCCAAGCGUUAGGCGGAAUCACUGGGCUUAAAGCGUGUGUAGGCGGAUCGUUAAGUGUCUUGUGAAAUCCCACGGCUCACCCGUGGAACUGCUGGGCAUACUGGCGGUCUUGAGCAACCUAGGGGCGAGCGGAACAAAUGGUGGAGCGGUGAAAUGCGUAGAUAUCAUUUGGAACGCCAAUGGUGAAAACAGCUCGCUGGGGGUUUGCUGACGCUGAGACACGAAAGCCAGGGGAGCAAACGGGG
rnacentral:rRNA from 1 species